UCUCCCUCUAAACACAAUCCCCAAAUCAACACACACACUAACCCUAAAAUUGGAGGAGAAAUCGGUGGCUCCACAAUCUUCUUCCUCCCGAUUCCUCGCCGGACUCCACCGGCGUAUACUCCCUCCUCCCCUGAUUCUCUCUCUCAACCCCUCUUUCUUCUCAACUUAAGUCAAAAAUCCCUAAUUUAGAGGCUCAAUUCCUCUCCCUCUCUCCUGUGUCCGUUCGCCAUCAAUCGGUCACCGGAAAUUUUCCGGUGUUCUCGGAUCAUUCCCCAACCGGCGACUGCUCUUCCUGCACGGCUCUCCCUAUCUCUCUCUCAUAAUCCUCACUCACUGUGCUCCACGCGGAGCUACACUUGGUCUUCCUCUCCUGGCGGAAUCGUCGCUACCAUCGCCGCCUCUCCCUCGCAACGAUGCCGCCACUGUACUCGGCACCCGACGCCGUCUUCUUCUUCAGGCAGCGCCGCCGUAGCAGCGCCAUCGUUGCCCGCCUCUCUCGCGGCGUCAGGUUCAGGACCAACGAGCAGCAGCGCCGGCUUCUCCCCUUUUCUCACAGCAUCGGUCCCUUCGAGCUGCCCGGGUUCGGUCCCCGUCGGAGCUGCCGUAUCACUGCCCUGUCUGUCGGGCUCUUCUGCCGCCUCUAGCAGCGUGCUGUGCAGCUGCUGCCCGGUGCAGCCCUGCCCCCUACUCUAAGCUAAGUUUCUUCCAUCCUAUUCUUAGCUUACUUAGUUGGGGUUUUAGGGCAGCAACUAUGUGGAAUUAGAGGUUUUGAAAAAAAAAUUAUGUGUUACUGGAAUGAGCUUGGUAUUUGGGGCUAAAGUGUUGAUUCUUUAAUUAUUGAAGCUUGCUACUGUUGUGAGGUUCCUAAGGCCACGAUUCUAUGUUCUUGAGCCUAGCAUGAUGUUCGAAACAAAAGCAGAGGGUGUGCUAGUGUUUUACCUUGACUUGGGUGAAUCCUUGAUGAUUGUGGCUGAUCCUAAGCUUCUUGUUACUCCUUGCUCCUCAUGCUAGCCUCCUCAUACUUUGUGGUGAAGUUGGGAUCGAGAUGGUGUUGUUGUUCUAUGCUCAUCCUCUUGAAGCUGCGGCUGCCUUGGUAAAAACAGUUCUUAAAACCUCAGCUCCCUUCCUCUCAACCUUGCUAUGUUGCUGGAAAAAGUUUGAAAGUGUAGGAGAGUGUUCAAAGGUGGUGUGGAGGAUUUUAUAGGCACGAAUGUGUACUCGUGUAGCCUUAAUUGGGGCUGUUGAAAUUCUUUGUUAUUUUCCUGCAGCAAAUCUCCCUUAUCUUUGAUUUUUGCAGUAACUUUAACAGAGUUUGGUGGUAUACUAAGGAGGUGCUGCCAUAUGGUGUGGAGGAUUUUCAGAAAUUGACUUGCCCUCUUUGGUGAAUUUUUGGUCUCCUAUUGUCAAAGAAGGGUUGGUAGAGGACUUGGGCUGCCCAGCUGUUGUCCUCGACGGGCUUGCUGCCUUGGGCCCAAUGGGCUGAUUGGAUAGGGUCGCGGUGGAGUGCGACUUGGGCUCGGGGGAAAGAAGAGGCCCAAAAUGCAAGCAAUAGCAAAAUAGUUUCUUAAGCUCUAGGCCCAUACUUGUGUAUUUUGUAAUAUCACCCAUUAAUUCCUUUUUCUUAAACUCAUAAACCCACAUACAUUUAAUCAUGUAAGUGGAAAUGUAGUUUGGGACGUAUACGAACGUUUUAGUCGUGAAUGAUAUCUCUGUAUUCGUUCUCGACAUUUGCUAAGUUUCAUAUAUAUCUUAAAUUGCUUUA